UUUAUUUGGCAUUAUCUUAAAAGCUUUCGAAAAGAAACAAUAUAUUUCUAAAUUUACAAAUUGUACUCUUUGAAUAUUUGAUGGAUGGAAUCUAUAUUUUAAAUCGAUGAAGACAACAAGGAAAAUGACAAUUAAUGUGAAGCAGAAAGGGGUAUGUUCUUAAAAAUAAUAAAUUUUUCGGGUGAAAUAAUAUUUUGCAGAGUGUCCAGCAGAAUCAUACGGUCCGGAUUGUGUGUAUAACUGUAGUGUACAGUGUCGGAGUUACCUCCCCUGUAACAGGACAACAGGAAGAUGUGACAGUGGCUGUAAUCUAGGAUAUACAGGGGAACGCUGUGACAAAGAGUGCCCUCCAGGAACAUGUGGCCCAGAUUGUCUGAAUGUCUGUAAUGUGACAAAUGGCUGUAAUCCAGGAUAUACCAAAGAACUCUGCGACAAAGAGGCACCUAAUGCCAGUAAUGACGAGUAUAGUACUACAAAUGCAUAUAUUGCCGUCUUGUCAAUCUCAGUGGUAAUCAACUCCGUGCUUGUUGUUGUCAUUGUUAUAUUACUGAGGGUAAUAUAUAACAGAAAACAAGAGCAGCGUUUUUCUGACUACAGCGCCAGUGCAGAAAUAUCACCGCCACCACAAGUCAGCAAUACCGAUGUACACCAGUAUCAGGAACUGAACAUGCCCAAUGAUAGUUCAUACCAAAAUCUGUCAUUAAGAGAUCGUUCAUGAUAUGCAUUUUAUACUAAACGUACUGUUAUUGUAUUGCUAUUGAAAUCACUUUUUGAAAUAUUCAUGUCCAUCAAUGCAUUUGCAGGAUGUCCAAAAUUUGCUUCGCACAAAUGUUGAAACAAUUUUUCAAGGUGUUACUAAUAUUACUGAUAAACAAUACCGGCACCACUUUAUCAAAUGACACUUAAUUCAUGCUGUUUGUAUUUACUAGUGUAUUGUUAAUAACGAUCCUUUGUUAGUUCAAUAUCUUUAUAUUAUUAUAUAGCUUAUAAAUAGUCUAAUGUAAAAUCUGCGUAAAAUCUAGAGAGUGUUAGCGUUCAAUAUCCUGAAAAUUUAUUGAACACUAACUUUGCAUUGCGUAAAUUGUAUGCGCCCGAAACAUUCCGAGUAUGGGCGUUCAAUAUUGACGUUACCGUAACGACGUAAACAAGCCAAAAUGUCAAACGACGGUCCUCCGAAUCUGACAGAGCCGGUAUUUGAUAUUUACUUAAGCAAAAUGUCUUACUGUACAUAAAUUAUGAUGUCCCCAUUUACAAAAUCAGUUUACUUCAUGCAUUAAUGACAGGUUAAAUAUUGAACAGUUAAGAAAUGCAUGCUGUUAUUGCACACUGCCAAUAUUGAUGAAUUCUCGUCUAUUUUGGAGUAGUUUGAGUGAAAGGGGAUAUAAUUUAACAACUAAAUACUUUAGCUAUAUAAUAAAAGGGUUAUUGAACUUAUAUAGGUGAAUAUUGGCACUCGUUGGGUGUCAAAAUGCACUUGCAAGCUCGUACAUUUUUAAAGCCAACUCGUGCCAAUAUUCACCAAUAUAAGUUCAAUAACCCUAUAUUCUAAUGUAGGAACUCAUGUUUACGCCACAAAAUGACUUGUUUUGAUUGAAAAAUAUUUUGGCACAUAAUAAUCUAAAUUUUUGUGUUUUGCAAAGCCUGAAUAUAGAAAAUAAAUGCCCAUAUUGUAACACCAUGGCUCGCUUCUUGGUGCAGUUCACUGGAUCAGAAAGGUUACCGUUAUAUUCACAUACAUAUUCGGCAGACAGCGGCGUUCAUUCUGUUGACUGCAUUCGUUCUUAACGUAUCAAAAAAUAAACUUCAGCA